GUGAGGAAUAUUGCGCAAUGGAGGCAACUCUGACGCAGCCAUGCCGCGUGCAGGAAGAAGGCGCUACGCGUUGUAAACUGCUUUUAACCGGGAAGAAACCCCAGGACGUGUCCUGGGUUGACGGUACCGGAGGAAUAAGCACCGGCUAACUUCGUGCCAGCAGCCGCGGUAAUACGAAGGGUGCAAGCGUUAUCCGGAUUCAUUGGGUUUAAAGGGUGCGUAGGCGGAGCGUUAAGUCAGUGGUGAAAGCCUGCAGCUUAACUGUAGACUUGCCAUUGAUACUGGCGCUCUUGAGUGCGCUUGAAGUGGGCGGAAUGUGCCGUGUAGCGGUGAAAUGCUUAGAAAUGGCACAGAACACCAAUUGCGAAGGCAGCUCACUAAGGCGAUACUGACGCUGAGGCACGAAAGCGUGGGGAUCGAACAGGAUUAGAAACCCGUGUAGUCC
rnacentral:rRNA from 1 species